UAUAAAAUGGAUAAGGACCGCUUAGAUGAUCCACAUGUCAAAGCCAAUCUGCUAUUUCAGGCACAUUUCUCGCAGUUAGAAUUACCAAUCAGUGAUUACGUCA